UGAGAACAGCUCAGGCAUUCCAGUUUGGUAUUACACAACUCUCAGUGAAUAUUAACUGGUGUGACUCUGCUGGGCACGGGCAGACACACAGCUCCUGCAGGGCAUGGGCACACACACACACAGCUACAGCUACAGCUCCUGCUGGGCAUGGACACACACACACAACUACAGCUCCUGCUGGGCAUGGGCACACACACACACACAGCUACAGCUCCUGCUGGACAUGGACACACACACACACACAGCUACAGCUCCUGCAGGGCAUGGACACACACACACACACAGCUACAGCUCCUGCUGGGCAUGGACACACACACACACACAGCUACAGCUCCUGCUGGGCAUGGACACACACACACACACAGCUACAGCUCCUGCUGGGCAUGGACACACACACACACACAGCUACAGCUCCUGCUGGGCAUGGACACACACACACACACAGCUACAGCUCCUGCUGGGCAUGGACACACACACACACACAGCUACAGCUCCUGCUGGGCAUGGACACACACACACACACAGCUACAGCUCCUGCUGGGCAUGGACACACACACACACACAGCUACAGCUCCUGCUGGGCAUGGACACACACACACACACAGCUACAGCUCCUGCUGGGCAUGGACACACACACACACACAGCUACAGCUCCUGCUGGGCAUGGACACACACACACACACAGCUACAGCUCCUGCUGGGCAUGGACACACACACACACACAGCUACAGCUCCUGCUGGGCAUGGACACACACACACACACAGCUACAGCUCCUGCUGGGCAUGGACACACACACACACACAGCUACAGCUCCUGCUGGGCAUGGACACACACACACACACAGCUACAGCUCCUGCUGGGCAUGGACACACACACACACACAGCUACAGCUCCUGCUGGGCAUGGACACACACACACACACAGCUACAGCUCCUGCUGGGCAUGGACACACACACACACACAGCUACAGCUCCUGCUGGGCAUGGACACACACACACACACAGCUACAGCUCCUGCUGGGCAUGGACACACACACACACACAGCUACAGCUCCUGCUGGGCAUGGACACACACACACACACAGCUACAGCUCCUGCUGGGCAUGGACACACACACACACACAGCUACAGCUCCUGCUGGGCAUGGACACACACACACACACAGCUACAGCUCCUGCUGGGCAUGGACACACACACACACACAGCUACAGCUCCUGCUGGGCAUGGACACACACACACACACAGCUACAGCUCCUGCUGGGCAUGGACACACACACACACACAGCUACAGCUCCUGCUGGGCAUGGACACACACACACACACAGCUACAGCUCCUGCUGGGCAUGGACACACACACACACACAGCUACAGCUCCUGCUGGGCAUGGACACACACACACACACAGCUACAGCUCCUGCUGGGCAUGGACACACACACACACACAGCUACAGCUCCUGCUGGGCAUGGACACACACACACACACAGCUACAGCUCCUGCUGGGCAUGGACACACACACACACACAGCUACAGCUCCUGCUGGGCAUGGACACACACACACACACAGCUACAGCUCCUGCUGGGCAAGGGCACACACACACACACAGCUACAGCUCCUGCAGGGCAUGGACACACACACACACACAGCUACAGCUCCUGCUGGGCAUGGACACACACACACACACAGGUACAGCUCCUGCUGGGCAUGGACACACACACACAACUACAGCUCCUGCUGGGCAUGGACACACACACACACACAGCUACAGCUCCUGCUGGGCAUGGGCACACACACACAGCUACAGCUCCUGCUGGGCAUGGACACACACUCACACAGAGCUACGGCUCCUGCUGGGCAUGGGCACACACAGCUCCUGCUGGGCACGGGCACACACACAGCUCCUGCGUGCUUUUUUUGGAUCCAUCCCCCCUGCUCCUGCCAGAGCAGCUGUUCUGUUGCCUCCUUUUGCCGCAGGGCCAUGGAGGCUGGAUCACCUCUGCACUCAAUAUGCUGAGGAACCAGGAGUCUCCCGCAGUAAGCACAGAGGAGUUGUCGGAGCUCUGUGCUGCCUUUUUUUCAUGUUUCCAUUCAGAUGUCUUACUCGCUGAGUAGGAAAGACUUCAGGCCAUGAUGAAAACAAUUGUAUUGCUAAAAGCAUGGGAAGUGAGGAUACACUACAGGGUUGUGCAACAGGGGUUUUUAAGGGACAGCUGGGCACCAAAAUUCCCUCAUGAGACCCCAAAGGAUUUGUGAACAACCUGUUAGAAUGCAGCUGGGAAUGACAAUCCUGUGAAUGGUGCUUUGACCAAUGGCCAUUGUCUUGUUUAGCUCUCUCCAGUGUCUUGAUGCAUUGUAGGUGUUAUUGUGACUCAAUAUUUAAGCUGCACUGUGGCUGUGCACUGGGUGUUACCAGAUUGAGUUAAUGAGGGUUGCUAAUCCUCUUGAAGUCCUAG
rnacentral:lncRNA from 12 species